CUGAGCUCCUAUUACGGGAUUAAAUCAGAAGAGCCCCAUUAUUUCUUAUAUUAUCCUAUAGCGUUAGUUACUCUGCCUGCCUGCUGAGUUGCCAUUGUAAACAUUUCCCCUAGAAUGCCAGUACAGAGGCAAUGAACAGCCCUUUGGGACACACAAACGAAGGCUGGAGUUCUUGAGGAAUAGAUGUGCACAGUUAUAACGCAGGAUGCCUACUUCAGGAGUGGCUGGUCUAUAUGGACAAAGAGUGGAGCCACAAGUAGCAAAGGAAGAGUGGAUAACAACUGAAAGCCACACUUCCNCCCAACUUAGUGCUCAACUGACCAGGUUCUGGUUCAAAUGCAUGGAAGUGAGACUUUGAAUGGUAUAUCACAGGUGAGGCUGUUCUNUCUGUCUUUCGUUGAAAAAGGACUUUCUGCUUUCAAUGACAUUUGAUGUGACAACAUCUGGACCUCCCUCAGCAUAGUUGUGGACCAGAACAGUACUGACGGUACCUUGUGGACCAUGAUGGAGAUCGUUAUUGGCAUUCCACCAUGAAAAUAAAUUUGUAUGGUGAUGGUAUAUAGCCA
rnacentral:lncRNA from 1 species